GAUGAACGCUGGCGGCGUGCCUAAUACAUGCAAGUCGAGCGAACGGACGAGAAGCUUGCUUCUCUGAUGUUAGCGGCGGACGGGUGAGUAACACGUGGAUAACCUACCUAUAAGACUGGGAUAACUUCGGGAAACCGGAGCUAAUACCGGAUAAUAUUUUGAACCGCAGGGUUCAAAAGUGAAAGACGGUCUUGCUGUCACUUAUAGAUGGAUCCGCGCUGUAUUAGCUGGUUGGUAAGGUAACGGCUUACCAAGGCAACGAUGCAUAGCCGACCUGAGAGAGUGAUCGCCCACCCUGGAGCUGAGACACCGUCCAGACUCCUACGGGAGGCAGCAGUAGCGAAUCUGCCGCAGAGGUCGGAAGCCUUACGGAGCGGCGCCGCGUCAGUUAUGAAGGUCUUCGGUUCGUGAAACUCUGUUAUUAGUGAAGAACAUAUGUGUAAGUAACUGUGCACAUCUUGACGGUACCUAAUCAGAAAGCCACGGCUAACUACGUG
rnacentral:rRNA from 1 species